ACUGUUCUGGGUGUUUGCUUCAAACGUGAAGAGGCAACCCAGCAGGAGUAAUUGAAAUUAGAGGUGGAUGAUUAUCUGCUUGGUGCCAAUAGGACUGCAUAAUUGUUUUAAUGACACAUAGACUCUUCGUUUUCCCUGCGUUAGGGUUUUCUUGUCCUUCGCAGAGUCCAACCACACCUUCACCUCCGCCGACAUCGUCUUCUUCUUCUUCGGGUAUUUCCACUGGCGUGGUGGUUGGAAUCACCAUGGGGGCGACGAUGAGUACUAUGCUCCGCCGCAGCAACCGCUGCGGGGACCCAGUAAUAAAGAGUUUACAAGAAUUCAAGAUCGGAUUUUCUUUAAGAAAGAAUGUAUGAUGAUAUUAUGUAUAGGAACAUGAAGUAGGUUUGGAACUAGAAUAAAAUUUUUGUAUUUUUGUGUAAUUUUUAUUUUGGGUCUUAUAAUUACUUUUUUUCCUAUUUGCUUCUAUUGCAUUUUUAU